UCUUCAGAAAUGUAGAAAGAUUUGGCCAUAAGAGAGAAAUUUGGAAUCCAAUUUCAGCAAUAACCAACUAGCCUGAGAAAACCUCACAUUUGAUGCUUAGUU